GGUUGGAAUGUUAAAGUAAUGAUGAGCCGUCUUUAAUCACUGGACAAAGGCAGACCCUAGAGAUGAUAGAACAAACAGAUGAAAAGUUCUUGAGUUCCUGAAAGCUUCAAUUUGGCAUACAACCCUAAACCAAACUGCUACCAGAGAGGAGACAGGGUCCUUUCUACUGAGGCACAAGAAGGGUGUGUGUAGGCAAAUUGUCCUGCGUCAGCCACUGGGAGAGACUGGUUGUCCCUGGGGGACCAAAGCGCACUAUUGGAGCUGACCCUGAUCUGUCUCUUCUUUAUGAUAUGCCAUGUCUUCAUAAACAUCAGGAACCAGGUCUGUCUUGGCUAUUAAUGUAUCCCCAGUUCAUGCAUAACAGACCCACAAGGGAAAUUAGUGAACUAGAAAAGCUUGAACAAAAGAAGCGUGUGUAUAGACCGCGUGGCCUUGAGAUGGUUCAUUUCCAGCUGUGUGUCCCUGCUGAUUCCUGAAAUUACAUGGCAAGAUGCCACCUCAAAAUCUGGAAAGUUGGGUGAAUUCAGACAGUCACAAAUGAGAUCUGCUUACCAGGAAAAGCUGCUAUAGCCAUAAACUGGUAGGA